AAUGCUUCACCACUUCAUUCAAGAACCAAUAUUGGGUGUUCCCGUCAUGGCUCAGCAGUAAUGAACCCAACUAGGAUCCAUGAGGAGCCCCUGCAGUGCCCAGCACCUGUGCUUGACCAGUUUGCUGAUCUGAAUUAAACCCGAUCGAUGGACUGCAACCACAUGGGCAACGUCUGGGCUACUAUAAAAAGCAUGCUGAAGCCCUUGGCAGCUGCAAUCCACAGGGAAGCGCUCUCCGCACACAGACAGGAGAGCACGCACUAGGGCUCCCGAGUGGUUCCUGGCCACACAGCCGGGGAAGCAAAGGGGAGGGGGCCGCACACACCACAGGCUCCAGGAAGCAGCAUCUGGAGUUACCAGUAGAAGGACAGGGAUUUACGGUCUCUAGAUGCUUUAAACGACAUCAACUGCUAAAUGUACUCUUCUGGCUACAUUUAUUGAUGACAGGAUAUUUGGAAAUCAGGGCGGUUCUGAAAAAUCUGAGGCGAAUAAGGAGCUGUGCUUUUAUAGGAAAAUUGUAAUGACGUAAGCAGUUUCUUCUUCAGAGGUUCAGCUACAGGAGUCGUGGGAUGACAGGAGGCUUAGACAUGAAGAUAACAGGUUUGGAGGUCCAUGUGCCAACCUCGUGUCGCCCGAAUUCCGUUUCUGGCACUGCUGAUGCCUUCUGCACCUUGCAGAACAUCCGUGUUGGAAGUCAAAGAAUCUAAACCUGGGCCCUGCAUUAUCAACUCCUGGAGGAGAGGGCCUAUGUCUUGGGCAUCUUCUUCCUCUGUGCAGCACUUUGUUCAUAGGUCAUCCAUGGAAACCAAAGAAUGGAUCAAUUGCAUGAGUGAUUUGCACACACAGGAACCCAGAGGUGCUUGCCAUCGUGUUACCCAGAAUAAAGGCUGGCACUGAGCCUUGGGCUGGUGGCUCAGAACAGGGCUGGCAAAAGGAG